GAUGAACGCUGGCUACAGGCUUAACACAUGCAAGUCGAGGGGAAACGGCAUUGAGUGCUUGCACUGAAUGGACGUCGACCGGCGCACGGGUGAGUAACGCGUAUCCAACCUUCCCGUUACUGCGGGAUAACCUGCCGAAAGGCAGACUAAUACCGCAUGUUCUUCGAUGACGGCAUCAGAUUCGAAGCAAAGAUCCGUCGGUAACGGAGGGGGAUGCGUCUGAUUAGCUGGUUGGCGGGGCGACGGCCCACCAAGGCGACGAUCAGUAGGGGUUCUGAGAGGAAGGUCCCCCACAUUGGAACUGAGACACGGUCCAAACUCCUACGGGAGGCAGCAGUGAGGAAUAUUGGUCAAUGGGCGGAAGCCUGAACCAGCCAAGUAGCGUGCAGGAGGACGGCCCUACGGGUUGUAAACUGCUUUUAUGCGGGGAUAAAGUGAGGGACGCGUCCCUUUUUGCAGGUACCGCAUGAAUAAGGACCG
rnacentral:rRNA from 1 species